rnacentral:misc_RNA from 1 species
GAUGAAGAACGUAGCGAACGUGCGAAACGUAAUGUGAAUUGCAGAAUUCAGUGAAUCAUCGAAUCUUUGAACGCAUCUUGCGCUCCUUGGUAUUCCGAGGAGCAUGCCUGUUUGAGUGUCGUGAAUACUCUCAACUUCAACCCUUUUUUCGGAAAGGGAGGAAGGUUGGACUUGGGUGUUUGUUGAAGUGCGAGCUUCGACUCAUCCUAAAUGCAUUAGCGAUCUGCCUCGAUCACACACAAUGUGAUAAUUAAAACUAAAGCAUUGUUUAAUGAUCAAGUCGAGACUGCUUCUAACUGUCGCAAGACAAUAACGUGCAUACAUUUGUGCAUGUCAUUUGACCUCAAAUCAGGUAAGACUACCCGCUGAACUUAAGCAUAUCAAUAAGCGGAGGA